rnacentral:rRNA from 1 species
UACGUAGGGACCAAGCGUUGUUCGGAUUUACUGGGCGUAAAGGGCGCGUAGGCGGCAUUGUUAGUCACUUGUGAAAUCUCCGGGCUUAACUCGGAACGGCCAAGUGAUACUGCAGUGCUAGAGUGCGGAAGGGGCAAUCGGAAUUCUUGGUGUAGCGGUGAAAUGCGUAGAUAUCAAGAGGAACACCUGAGGUGAAGACGGGUUGCUGGGCCGACACUGACGCUGAGGCGCGAAAGCCAGGGGAGCGAACGGG